rnacentral:misc_RNA from 1 species
GAUGAAGAACGUAGCGAAAUGCGAUAAGUAAUGUGAAUUGCAGAUUUCCAGUGAAUCAUCGAAUCUUUGAACGCACAUUGCGCCCCCUGGUAUUCCGGGGGGCAUGCCUGUCCGAGCGUCAUUACAACCCUCAAGCUCAGCUUGGUGUUGGGCCCCGCCGCCCCGGCGGGCCCUAAAGUCAGUGGCGGUGCCGUCCGGCUCCGAGCGUAGUAAUUCUUCGCUCUGGAGGUCCGGUCGUGUGCUCGCCAGCAACCCCCAAUUUUUUUAAGGUUGACCUCGGAUCAGGUAGGGAUACCCGCUGAACUUAAGCAUAUCAAUAAGCGGAGGA